GCAGGCUGCAACUCGCCUGCAUGAAGUUGGAAUUGCUAGUAAUCGCGAAUCAGAAUGUCGCGGUGAAUACGUUCCCGGGCCUUGUACACACCGCCCGUCACACCAUGAGAGUCGAUAACACCCGAAGCCUGUGAGCUAACCGCAAGGGGGCAGCAGUCGAAGGUGGGGUUGAUGAUUGGGGUGAAGUCGUAACAAGGUACC
rnacentral:rRNA from 1 species